AUGAAUUUUGGAGUUCUACUGUGCCUGCCGUUCAUUCGGAUGUGUGCACGUAGUCUCUAUAAAUCCUUAUCAACACCUGUGCACCUUUAAAAAGGGGGGAGUCUGAUUAAGCAUUUUAUGAUGCUUAUGACGAAUAACCUCUUUUCUUAUACGAACUCUUUUAAUGUCUAUUAGAAUGUUCUCUGGCCGCAAGGCUAUAAAAUAUAAA
rnacentral:misc_RNA from 1 species